rnacentral:rRNA from 1 species
UACGUAGGGUGCGAGCGUUGUUCGGAAUCACUGGGCGUAAAGCGCACGUAGGCGGAUCUUUAAGUCAGGGGUGAAAUCCCGAGGCUCAACCUCGGAACUGCCUUUGAUACUGAGGGCCUUGAGACCGGAAGAGGUCGGCGGAACUGCGAGUGUAGAGGUGAAAUUCGUAGAUAUUCGCAAGAACACCAGUGGCGAAGGCGGCCGACUGGUCCGGUUCUGACGCUGAGGCGCGAAAGCGUGGGGAGCAAACAGG